rnacentral:rRNA from 1 species
GACGAACGCUGGCGGCGUGCUUAACACAUGCAAGUCGAACGAAGUGGCGAACGGUUGAGUAACGCUUAAUCAACCUGCCCUUCAGAGGGUGACAACAGUUGGAAACGACUGCUACUACCGCAUACUGAAGGCGGGGCUUGCGUCUGAUUAGCUCGUUGGAGGGGUAACGGCCCACCAAGGCGAUGAUCAGUAGUCGGUCUGAGAGGAUGAACGGGCACAAUGGGACUGAGGAAAGGACCAGGCUCCUUAGGGAGGCAGCAGGGGGGAAUCUUCCGCAAUGGACGAAAGUCUGACGGAGCAACGCCGCGUGAGUGAUGACGGCCUUCGGGUUGGAAAGCUCUGUUAAUCGGGACGAGGUACCGGAAUAGAAAGCCACGGCUAACUACGUGCCAGCAGCCGCGGUAAUAC